ACAUACAUACAUACUUUCAUGCACGCACACACACACACACACACACACACACACACACGUUGUGUUUCACACUCCUUUGGGCCUGGCUCUUAGCAACUAGGAUCUUUGGUCUUGGGUUUGAGAACACAAAGAAAAUGCCGCGAGAUGAGGGCCGUGGUGGUGAUCGGGGAUGCUCCACAACAGCUUCUCGUGGAGCAUAGUGAUGUCUUCGCUUGGAACCAUGAAGAUAUACUGAGGAUCAACCCAACGAUCAUGUAGCAUCACUUAAGUGUAGACACUAAGGCCAAGGAGUAAGGCAGAGGUACAGGAGCUUCAGUGCAGAGAAGAACACCGCCAUCACCGCCGAGGUCGAUUGACUACUUGCAGCAGGAUUCAUAUGGAAAGCACACUACCUAGACUGGCUGCCCAAUGUGGUGCUUGUAAAGAAACCAAACGGUAAGUGGAGAAUAUGUGUAGACUUCAUUGAUUUGCACAAGGCUUGUCCAAAGGAUAGCUUUCCUCUUCCUUGCAUCGACCUCAUUGUGGACUAACAGCAGGCCAUCACAUGCUAAGCUUCAUGGAUGCUUACUCCAGGAAUAAUCAAAUCUGUAUAAACCUGGACAAUAAGGAGAAUACGUCAUUCAUCACAAACAGAGUAUUGUACUGUUACUUAGCUAUGCCGUUAAGCUUGAAGAAUUCGGGGGGGCACCUACUAGUGGUUGGUCAACUUUGGGUGAAAACUUAUCCGAAAAUUGACACCAACCGAUGUGUGAAAAAAGGGUGGAGCAACUGACCAUAACGGGUCAAUGGAGAGCAGUAAAAUUGGCUGGAGUAGUUUUGGCCAGUCGCAAUCGGUUCAUCGGCGUGAAUAUUGGUUCCAACACUUAGUAAAUUUCUCAACACUAACAAUAUAGAUUCAACAACAAACAUCAACUUUACAGACCCAAAUAAUAAACAUCAAGUUGAUUUCAUCAACUAUCCCAUGAGAGAGAGAGAGAGAGAGAGACGAAAGGGAGAUGAGAGAUGAAGACCUGAGAGGUUGAGAAAUAGGCUUUGAAAGCCCAAGAGGGAGAUGAGAUGGAGAGGGAGAUGGCAUUGCCGCAUUGGAAAGGGAGUUGACAUCGCCACAUCGAAGAGGGAGGUUGGGGGGUGGCUGCUGCUGGGGAGAUCUGACUGAGGGAAAACUUUUGAAAUGAAGAAUGAGAAAGAAGGGCUCAUAGAGGUCUUUUACCCUAAUUCAAAACAGCACCAAAUGGUGCCAUCACAUUUAUAUAAUUUUUACAACCUGCAUCCCCAAAACGACGCCGUUUCACUUAUUUUAGUGAAACGACAUCAUUUCUUGUGCAUAUAUUUGGAAAAAAAGAAGAUAGGUGACGUCGGUCAUUUCAGCGAUUUUUCACUGGGUCAAAUUGAAAUCGAGCUGACCGAUGUCUGUUUUACUUAAUUCCUGCCUCCGGCCAACCGAUUUUCUACCAGUUUCGGCCGGUUCCGUGCUUCGACGGCCAAUCUUAGUUAGUCCUGGCCGAUUUUACAAUUUCUUGUACAACUAUGAUCAACCGUAUGUUCAAGGAUCAAAUCAAGAAAAAUAUGGAGGUCUACGUGGAUGACUUGCUAGUCAAGAGAAGAGACCCCACACAACACUUAGAUGACCUUCGAGAGGCUUUUACGAUGUUAAGACGGUUCAAGAUGAAGUUGAACCUAGCAAAGUACGUGUUCGGUGUGGGUUCUGGGUAGUUUUUGUGGGAUUCAUGGUGUCGAAACGGGGUAUCAAAGCCAACCCUAAGAAAGUGGAGGCCAUCCUUGACAUGCCUCCCCUGUGGAGCAUUAACAACGUGUAGAUGCUCGCUACCGAGUGGUGGCCCUCAAUAGUUUCGUGUCACGAUCAACUGACAAGUGCCUUCCUUUUUUCAAAGUACUACAAAGGCAAAGUACUACAAAAGGCCCGAGACGAAGAGUGUGACGAGGCAUUCACCUUGCUUAAGAAAUAUCUAAUUAGCUCUCUACUGCUUAGCCAACCUUGAUGUGGGGAGGUCCUAAUUUUAUACCUGUCAAUCUCCUAGCAAGCAACCUCCUUGGCCCAAGUAUGAGAUGAUGGCGAGGUUCAGCCAGGCUUAAAGGGGAGAGGAAGACAGAUAUCCCCGCAUCAAGCAGCUCACUUUCACCUUGGUGGUAACCAUUCAGAAAUUCUGACCCUAUUUUCAGGCCCACCUGAUCAAAGUCCUCACUGAGGCCUCCUAAUAAAGAUCCUACUAUGACUAGAUGCCUCAGGUUGCCUCACUAACUUGUCCAUGGAACUAAGUGAGUUCGACAUCGAGUACGCCCCGCACCUCCACGAAAGGGAAGAUAUUAGCAAAUUUGAUCACGAAGUUCACAAGCUUCCCCAAAGAAACUGAACAUGCACAACCCAUGAAGCCAUGGAAAAUCUUUAUCGACGGCUUAUCUUGCCUGGCUAAACAGGGAGUGGGAGUGCAUGUCGUCAUAAAUAAAGGCGAAGAGCAUGACUAUGCCAUUAAACUGGCAUUCAAAACUACAACCAACAAGGCAAAGUAUGAGGCUUUGUUCUUCAGCCUGACAAUCGCAAGGUAUUUAGGCAUUGAAAAGGUUCAGGUCCAAGCCGACUCCCAAGUGGUAGUUAACCAAGUAUGGGGAGAGUUCGCAGUGAAAAGUGAGAAAUUAAAAAAAUGCCUAACCUUGGUAGUGGUCGAGUGCUCUUACUUCAAACAUUUUCAAAUACAAGAAAUCCCAAGGGCCGAGAAUUAGCAGAUAGGAUGGCGAAAAUAGCGUCUAGACAAGAGGCUACCCCAAUACCAGAAUCAGCCAUUCUCAAAACCACCGAAGUGCCAGUCGUAGGAAUCGAAGUGUUGGGAAUCAAGCCAGGUGCACCAGAGUGUGCUACAAACAUCCUUUAGUACCUGAAUACCAAUGAAGUACCGAAAAAUAGGCAAAGGGCAAGAAAGGUCCUAUCAAGCGGCAAGGUACACCAUAGUCAAUGGUAUCUUAUACCGAAAAGGAUACAACACCCCCCUCUUGAGGUGCAUUUUGAAUGAGCAAGCCUAACAUGUGUUGGCAAAAAAAUACAUGAGGAAAUCUAUGACAACCAUUCUGGAGGCAGGAUACUGGCAAGCUAGGCAAUGCAGGAAGGGUACUAUUGGCCACACGCCCUGCAAUACGCUAAAGAGUAUGUGCGGAGGUGCAUGAAGUGCCAGGAGUACUCUUGGGUCCUCUACCUCUCGUCGGGAGAACUGACAUUAAUCUUCUUGCCCUAUCCCUUCAUCCAAUGGGGGGUCGACCUGGUAGGUAAAUGCGGGGUAAAAUUCGUGGUGGAUUACUUUACCAAGUAGGUCGAGGCCGAAGCCCUUUUCCUGUAGAAGAACGUCAUAUGUAGGUUUGGCAUUCCCCGUAACAUCGUUUCAGACAAUAAGAGGAAGUUUGACUCUAACCAAUAUUGAGACUAGUGUCGAGAUCUGGGAAUAAGAUUUUGGUACUCUUCACAAGGGCACUCCUAGUCCAACAAUCAAGUAGAUCCGACCAACUAAACCCUGCUGAGAAUACUAAAGAAGAAGCUUAACAACUGGAAAGAGGCAUGGGCAGAAAAACUUUCCGCAGUCCCAUGGGCAUACCCGGUGACAGUAAGGAUGUCGACAGGACCUCGUUUACUCUCGCAUAGGGUCACAAAGCCAUGCCACCAGUUGAGAUGGAAAUCCUUACCUACAUAGUGUAGCAUUACGAACCAACAACUAGCACCUUGAGGAACAACUUGACCUAGUGGGAGAAAUUCGAGAAGAGGCAGAAUUGAUAAUGGCAUCAUACAAGAAGAGGGUGGAGUGCUACUUCAUGCCAACGGUCAUUCAAAAUUGAGGAUCUUGUACUGAAGCAAACAGGGACCACCACAAGAGAUGAAAGCAAGUUAGGACUGUAGUGGGAAGGCCCCUAUGUGGUUGUCGCCAAUAAUCGCCCUGGGUUUUAUUAGCAUCGAGACUCCCAAGGGAACGAGUUGCAACACUUAUGAAAUGCCAAGCACCUACAAAUGUUCUACCAAUAAAGGCCUUGUGAUGUGUAAAUUUAUAAUCUGCUUUGUUCUGUUGAUAAAGAAAUGUGAGUAUUUCAAGAAUUAAAUGUGUGGAAACGAUGUCUCCAUUAGUAUGUAGCCCACUCUGGCAUGAACCUUUACCAAGACGCCCUCACCAAUAAAAUCUACAAUGACAAAUUACCUUCUCCAUGACGUCAAUAGGUGGGAGCAAGUACAGUCAUAAACUGUCUUAACAGACUACUUCUACGUGCAGGUCAACAGGUGGAACUAGCCUCUGGCUAGCCCGACCUCCCCCAUGAAGGAGAGCAAGUCUAGCUCUGAGGUUACAUAAUCAUUUCCCCCACCCCAGUCACAGUGAAGAGCCUAUGACCCCUUGGCCCUUUGAUACUUACAUCCCUCAUAGAGAACCAAAAGGAUAGGUAUAAUACCUAUGGCUUAUCCCUCCCGUGGCGGAGUGUGGGUUAGCCCCUGCUAUCCAUUAACUUACCUUAGUCAUGCAUGUCAGCCAACAGGAGCUAGUCCAAUCAGGGACUGUACAAACAAACUACCUCCACGUGUGGUUCAACAGGCCCCGCGGAGGAGAGAAGGCCAAGCCCUUCGGCCUCCUGAACAUUACCCCAUCCCGAUACCCCCAUCCCGAUACAAUGCAGAGUGGACACGACACCAGUUUGGUCCUCACUUACCUUCCCUACAAUGUCAACAGGUGGGAGCGGGUCCAGUUAGGGACUUUCCGAACAAAUUACCUUCACGUAUGAGUCAACAUGCGAGACUAGCCCCAGGCUAACCCUACCUCCCACAUGGAGACUGCAGGUUCAACCCUGAGGCUCUCUGAACAUUACCCCGUCCCCAUCAUGGCAAAGAGUGGGUGACCCCUCGACCCUCUGAUACUUAUCUCCCUUGUGGAGUACCAAAGGGAUGGGUGUAAUGCCUAUGCCUACUAGAUCCCUCCUACGGUGGAGUGCGGGCCUUUCCUUAACAACUCGACAACUUACCUUCCUCUCUUCGACCAACAGGAGUAGAUACAGUCCAAGACUACCCGAACAGACUACCUUCCCAUGGGGUACCAAAGGGCGAGAUGAGCCAAAGGCCAUUUCGACCCUCCUGGGGAGAGCAGGUUAGGCCCUGAGGCUGCUUGAACAUUACCCGGUCCUACAGAACCAGCCUGACCAAGCCCUCACCUACAUUCCAUGCGAUGUCAAUGGAUAGGAGCGGGUCCAAUCACACACACUACCCGAAUGGAUUACCUUUAUGUGAAGGUCAACAGGCGGGACUAGCCUUGGGCUAACCCGACCUCCCCCGUGGAGGAGAGCAGGACCAGCCAUGAGGUUGUCCAAAUGGAUUACACUGUCCCGCCGGCAAAGAGUAAUCCAACUCUGAGGCUAUUGACUAAUUACCUCCCCUGGGGGAUUAAAAGGGAGAGUGUGGUCUGAGACACCUCUACCCUCCCUCGUCGGAGUGCUGGAUGGUCCCAAGACUACCCAACAAAACUUUAAAGAGAUGGUCCCCCUCCAGCGGAUAAUGGCUUAGAGCUUCACCCUCUCAUCAGCCCGUCUUAGCUCAAGUUAGUGAACAUCAAUAAUUUUCAGUUAGUGAACAUCAAUAAUUUUCCAUACCAUGGUUUGACCUCUAUGGUGUGCUCAAGUGAUCGGCCCCUCUCUCCAACGUGCGACGGUCAACAAGGCGAGUCCAGCCUAAGUGCUGCUUGACCUCUGCAAGGAUUUGUGGGCAAGCCCGACUUGACAAGUCACUCAGCCCCUCUUACCAAUGCAAUAGGGCUAAAGAGGCGAGUUUAGCCUAAGUGUUGCUCGACCUUCACAGGAGUAUCUGGGCGAGCCUGGCUUUACAUGCCGCUCGACCCCUUUCGCCAAAUCACGAGGGUCACCAAGGCGAGUUCAACCUAAGUGUCACUCAACCUUUGCAAGGAUUUAUGGGUGAGCCUAGCUUCACAUGCCACUCGGCCCCUCUCACCAAUGCACAAUGGUAAAUGAGACAAGUUCAGCUCAGGUGCCACUCGACCUCCACAAGGAUUUUUUGGGCGAGCCUAGCUUCACAUGCCCCGCUUGGCCCCUCUAGCCAACACACGAGGGUCAACGAGUCGAGUUCAACCUAAAUGUUGCUCAACUUUCGCAAUAGUACUUGGGCGAGCCUGACUUCACAUGUAGCUCAAUGUGAGUUCAGCCCAAGUUCUACUCGACCUCUACAGGAGUUUACAGGCAAGUCCAGUGUCGAAGGCUACUUGGCUCUGUGAGCUGCCGUGAAACACACUGGCCUACUUUUACGACCCUGGAAGUCAUCCACCCAUCAAGAAGAGAGAGAGCCAAGCCCUUGUACAUCAACAAGGUUGUCAAAUGAUCACCCUUAGUCACCCCAGGGGGCUCACGCAGAACACGAAUAGAAGGUGAGAAAAUAAAGGCGACAGAAUGCAAAAAUAUAAAUAAAGUACACUUUAUUCAUCAACAUUUGGAAUUUUUACAAAUGGGAAGAUUAUAGCAUGUUUGCAAGGAACCUUACAUGAAGAAAGGAACAUAUAUGCAUUCAGGUAGGAAAGUGAUCCAUCGGUGGAAUCAAACUCAGUGGGGUCAUCGAGAGGCACCAUCUCAGACGUAUACAGGAGGUGAAGACAAGAGGGCAUGCCCAUCCUAAGAACAUCAGGUUCCACGAUCUGCAAGCGGUUGUCGGAGUAACCACCAUUGCCUUAGACCAUUUCGACACAUUCAAAGUGAAGUGAGGCUCUUGCAUGGACGUGGCACGUCGGGAUUUCCACACCUUUGAAGCCAUCAGCGCCAAAGGCAAAUCUGGACCUACUUGCCUUGCUGAACAAGUGGCAGCAUUGUAACGGAACAUGGGCUGCAAGAUGGGUCAUGAGAUAGGAAAGACCAUCGAAUGUCACAGUCAUAAAACCUAGGCCACACUAUCUCUACAACGUGUCUCCAAAUAACGAGGACUAACAUGAGCUUCAACAGACCUCCCCUGAGGUCUGCAGGCCAUCCAACCAAGGGAGACUAGGUUAAAUCGACAAUGCCCAACAACUUGAGUCCAACUCUUGGUGCCUCUCUAAAGGAGAACCCGUCCAAUACCCUGACCCGGUGCCAAGAGGAGUCACCCUACAUUUGCCUUGACACUAGCCCUCGAUGAGUCCUCACCUAAAGGACCCGAUGCGAGGAUGGAAGGCCCACUAGGAUUAAGGUUCUACAAGAACACAGUUUGCUCAAGGUAAAGAGGAUGAACCAAAUGAACAGUUGAUUACCCAACCAAAUGAAUAGCUUCUAAUUUUACACGACCAACCAAAUAGGAGUUGGGUCUUGUUCUUCAACAUAUCUAAACCCACAACUGAUUACCCAUAUGAUAGUAAAAUUUUCUGUCUAUUUGUUUUGGCAGACAGCAAGAGAGAAAUGGCUAUUGCCACCAGAGAUUGAAAAUGAAUAUGGACCUAUAGAGUACAAAAUUGGGGCACCUGGUCAAGCUUACACCAAAUAGGCAAUCCGAAUGGCUGUGGGGCUUGGCACUAGUGUCCCAUGGGUCAUGUGCAAGCAAGAUGAUGCCCUUGAUCCUAUUGUAAGCACAGCCAAGCUCUCUUUCUACCUUUUCUUAGCACGUUUACCAAAUUCACUCUUGAUGGUUUGUAUGUAAUGUCCCCAUGGAUGAAACGAAUAAUUAUUCCUCAAUGCACAUGACUGAACUUUACUCU